ensembl:lncRNA
CACUGAUUUAUAAGGCCAUAUUGGGUAAAAUGCUAUUUAUCUCUGUUCUUUUUUUUAGUCAGGUCAGUAAAUAAAUAUUGAUUACAGUCCCAUUCCGAUUUGCUUCUAACAGUACCAAAAAUUAGAACAGGUCAUGGUAGAAAUAGUUUGUUACUUAGCUCCGUGGUUCUGGAAUUCUCUCCUGAACAUUUAAAAAUGUGAUGAUCUAGUAUCAUUGGUGGAGUUUAAACACUUGAUCAAUGUAUAUAUCAUAGAAGAGUGUAAUUGUUUUUAGGCCAGCUGUUUUUAGUAAAGACUUUCAUGUUUUUAACGUUAAAUGUUUUUGUUGUACUGUAUGUGUGUUUCAUAGUUUUGCUUACUGUUGUUUUAGUGUAUGUAAGUUGUUUUGCUUGAAACGUUGUUCCCCCUGCUUGUAACGUUCGUCGUCUUCCUCUGAUGAGGAGUAAGAGAGGACGGACCAAUUUGCAGCGUGGUAAGUGUCCAUUUUAAUAAGACAAACUGAACACUACAAAAACACAAAAUAGCAAAGUGAAACAAACGAAACGAUCCCGUGUGGUAACAAACACUAAUGUAACAGUAUGACUUUAGACCGUCCCCUCGCCCAUACCCGGGCGCGAACCAAAAUAAUCACCCACAACUCAAAAGUGAAACCAGGCUACCUAAAUAUGGUUCUCAGGGACAACGAUAAACAGCUGCCUCUGAUUGAGAACCAUACCAGGCCAAACAAAGAGAUCCCAAAACAUAAUAAAAGUAACAUAGACAACCCACCCAACUCACGCCCUGACCAUACUAAAACAAAGACAUAAUAAAAGAACGAAGGUCAGAACGUGAUACUGCUGCUAUUGGACCAGGUCUCUCUUGGAAAAGAGAUGUUAUCUCAGUGAGAGAAACCUGUAUAAAUAAAGGUAAAAUUAAAAAAUCAAUGUGAGUCGUGUAGUGAUGACCUCAUCACCAGUGUGCUGUAUUUUUUUAAAUUCCAAAAUUGGUCUGGAAAUAUUUUGUCUGAAAACAUCUGAUAAACGUACAUUUUGUAAUGUCCUUUUAAGCAGUAUAUUGAAAGGAUUAUAAUAUUAUUAUUUAGUGUUUUUAUCAUUUCUGUUCAUUUUAAUUUACUGUACCAUCUAAAAUGCUUUUGUAUGUCAAUCUACCCCUUUCAGGCUUUCUUGAUUGCCUUCACAUCAGGUUUCUGCUUUACCAGUAAAAGUUUGACAACAAUCUGAACGGAUAUGUUAAUUUCACUCUGGCCUAUGCUCCACACAGCUACACGAGCCAACCCAUGUGCAGCUUGCUAAUCUUUGCCUCCCAGGCUUUCCAAUGGUAUUUUACUAUUUUAUAUUUUAUCACCUUUACUCUAUUGAUACUACUCUCCUCAGAAUCCCUCUUCUUCCACUGAGGUUUCUGUCUAAUUUCACCCUGUCUUCUUUUCCAUCCCUCUGUCUCACUAUCUAUUUAUCCUUCUUUACCUUCCUGUCACCCCCAAUGUAUGCUCUUUUCCCUCCAUCCCUCUCUGCAGCUUGUAGUGUUUUUCUUCCUGUAAGCGAUAGACUGGAUGGUGCCAGAUGUCUCUGAGUCUCUGGAGCUGAAGAUGAAGAGAGAGCGCUACUUGGCUAAGCAGGCCCUGGCUGACAAUCAGGAUGCCCUGUUGGUGAGUCAGCGUGCCCCGGCCUCCAGCCCAGGUCAGUGGAACAUGGCGAUGCUCACACACCCUCACCACACACCCACUGCUUUCCUGCAAAGAAUCAUUGUGGUGUUCAGGUUGUUAUUGCAAAACAAAAUGUGUUGUCAUUUGUCAUGACUAACCCUGUUUAAAAAACAUUGUGCCUAAGAACAGCCCUAGCCAUGUUAUAUUGGCCAUAUACCACACCAUAUACCACACCCCAUCGUGACUUAUUGCGUAUGUAUAACACCCUUUUCCUCCUUCGGUUCAGUUGUAUCCCUGUUAUAUUAGUGGUUACUUAUUAGCUAGGGCUCCUGUUCAUUUGAAACUACACACACAUAAAGUGAGUCAUUAAGGAUUUAAAUUGGCACCCUAUUCCCUAUUUAGUGCACUACCUUUGGAAAGGGUGCCCAUAGGGAUCUGGUCAAAGUAGUGCACUAUAUAUGGAAUAGGGUGCCAUUUGGGUUACAGUCAGUAUCCCAUUGGAUCCAGUGUACAUUUCCUGGAGUAUUAAGGGCGGUGAAACCAGAGAGAGACAUGAAUUGAUUGAUUCUAAAGCUGCUGUAUAAGUAGUGCAAGCAGUGGUGUUAAUAAGUUACGUAUUACAUUAUUACAGAAACCGAUUUGAUCUUCAUAAAUUAAUUCCAGACUUUAUAUCCUAUUAUAGACUUUAUAGCCCCCUCACACACACACACACACAAAAACCCCUGAGCCUUAACUCUAACAUUGCACUGCUCAAGUCAGCAGCAGCUAGCCUGUUUGCUCUGUGAUUCAGACUCAAUAAAAACAUAUGCACAAUGUUUAAAGACUGGGCUCACUACAACGGUCAUAAUAUGGCGAUAGAAAUGCUAAAGUGUUCAAAGCCAGACCCAUAUAACCUUAACCUAAGUUAUUGCAUCCAUAAGUCUUUUCCCAUGGCAUGUGUAGCCUCUUUCUCUCACUUCGCAUCCCAUCAGCACAAGACUGGUGCUUGCUGGCCCAUUGUUUCUCGUUGUGGUCCUUUAAAUGGUGUGGUGGUGGGUGUGCGUCCCCGUGUUCUGACCAUGCCAUUGUGGGAGUUCUGUUUCUUGUCGUGAAUGUCCUGGAUGGGGUGAGUAGAAAUUCUCACUAAUGCAGUCUGUUAAGCUUCUAAGUAAUAUAUAUACAGUACCAGUCAAAAGUUUGGACACACCGACUCAUUCCAG